AUCAGUUUGGUUUGCUUGCAAACCAAAGCUGGCGACCGGCGCACGGGUGAGUAACACGUAUCCAACCUGCCUCAUACUCGGGGAUAGCCUUGCGAAAGUAAGAUUAAUGCCUGGUGUUUUCAGAGUCCCGCAUGAGGCUUUGAACAAAGAUUUAUCGGUAUGAGAUGGCGAUGCGUCCCAUUAGCUUGUUGGCGGGGUAACGGCCCACCAAGGCAUCGAUGGGUAGGGGUUCUGAGAGGAAGGUCCCCACAUUGGAACUGAGACACGGUCCAAACUCC
rnacentral:rRNA from 1 species